rnacentral:rRNA from 1 species
AGUGGCGAACGGGUGAGUAACACAUCGGAACGUGUCCAGUUGUGGGGGAUAACCAGUCGAAAGACUGGCUAAUACCGCAUGAUGGCGACCAAAGCGGCGCGAUUGGAGCGGCCGAUGUCCGAUUAGCUAGUUGGUGGGGUAAAGGCCUACCAAGGCGACGAUCGGUAGCUGGUCUGAGAGGAUGAUCAGCCACACUGGGACUGAGACACGGCCCAGACUCCUACGGGAGGCAGCAGUGGGGAAUUUUGGACAAUGGGGGCAACCCUGAUCCAGCCAUGCCGCGUGAGUGAAGAAGGCCUUCGGGUUGUAAAGCUCUUUCGGUGGGAACGAAUGACGGUACUCACAGAAGAAGCACCGGCUAAC